GUGGGGAAUCUUGCGCAAUGGGCGAAAGCCUGACGCAGCCAUGCCGCGUGAAUGAUGAAGGUCUUAGGAUUGUAAAAUUCUUUCACCGGGGACGAUAAUGACGGUACCCGGAGAAGAAGCUCCGGCUAACUUCGUGCCAGCAGCCGCGGUAAUACGAAGGGGGCUAGCGUUGCUCGGAAUUACUGGGCGUAAAGGGCGCGUAGGCGGACAGCUUAGUCAGAGGUGAAAGCCCAGGGCUCAACCUUGGAAUUGCCUUUGAUACUGGAUGUCUUGAGUUUGGGAGAGGUGAGUGGAACUCCGAGUGUAGAGGUGAAAUUCGUAGAUAUUCGGAAGAACACCAGUGGCGAAGGCGGCUCACUGGACCGUAGUUGACGCUGAGGUGCGAAAGCGUGGGGAGCAAACAGGAUUAGAUACCCGUGUAGUCC
rnacentral:rRNA from 1 species